GAUGAAGAACGUAGCGAAAUGCGAUAAGUAAUGCGAAUUGCAGAAUUCAGUGAGUCAUCGAAUCUUUGAACGCACAUUGCGCCUGUGGUAUUCCGCAGGGCAUGCCUGUUCGAGCGUCAUUUCAACCCUCAAGCUCUGCUUGGUGUUGGGCCCUGCCCGCUGCGGCCGGCCCUAAAGACAGUGGCGGUGCCGCCUGGCCCUGAGCGUAGUACAUCUCUCGCUCCAGUGCCCGGUGGUAGCCUGCCAGAACCCCAACUCUCGUGGUUGACCUCGGAUCAGGUAGGGAUACCCGCUGAACUUAAGCAUAUCAAUAAGCGGAGGA
rnacentral:misc_RNA from 1 species